UACGUAGGGGGCAAGCGUUAUCCGGAUUUACUGGGUGUAAAGGGAGCGUAGGUGGUUCGGCAAGUCAGAUGUGAAAGCCCGGGGCUCAACCCCGGGACUGCAUUUGAAACUGUCGGGCUAGAGUGCAGGAGAGGUAAGUGGAAUUCCUAGUGUAGCGGUGAAAUGCGUAGAUAUUAGGAGGAACACCAGUGGCGAAGGCGGCUUACUGGACUGUAACUGACACUGAGGCUCGAAAGCGUGGGGAGCAAACAGG
rnacentral:rRNA from 1 species